UAAUUACACGCAUAUAAAUGCGUAUAAUCAUCUCACUCUCAGUCUUCUCUCGCUCUCUUCUUCAUCCAACUCUUUUCUUUACCCAGAAAUCAUAGUCUUCCUCUCUCUUUCAUUCUGAAAUCCCAAAUAGGGAAACCCCCAAUCUCAGAUUCCUCGACAUCAACCAAAUCUCUAUUGGUCGAACCCUCAAUCUGAAACCCAAAUUUCAUUGACCUAACUCUCGUCUCCAUAAUUAGCUGGAUUUACACCACACAGCCAUGGGCCAAGAACUUGAAGAACAAGCAGCGCUGCCGGUCAUCCUCCGAUGGCAAGAUUUGGGCGAGUUGCCGAAAAACGAGCUGAUUAAUAAGGCUCUUGAAGACAAUACCCCUCCUCGUGGGAGAGAGAGAGAGAGAAAGAGCUUCCUCUCUGAUCUGGACACAGCGCGACCCGGCCAGCGACCGACCGGAACUUCCACGUCCGGCCACCGAUAGACGACGGACGACCACCACCUUCUUCGUCUUGCCGUCGCCAACAACCUCCUAUCCUUGGAUUGUCCAUGCACUGAACGGAGAAGUAAGCCCGACGACGAGAAGCCCGAACAUUCACCAGCAACCUCUGUAAUUUCCGGCAACCGAUUAAGCUUCAUCUGCUCGGGUUCGACGCGGUUGCUACGCCGGCGACUUCUCCAACGCAUCUGGGCUUGGUUUCUGGUUCGAUUGCUUCCCUGGACGAGGCCUGACCUUGAGUGGGAGUUGAACUUCAAAGAUUUCUGGAUUGUAGCACAAGGCAUCACCAACUCAUCACCAACCCAGUCUCGGCAGCAAGCUUUGGAAAAUGAAGUUUCUGUUACAAUACCAGAAACUAGCAAAGAGAUCAUUCUUUGAAUUUUACUCUUAGGUCUAAAAUCAUCAACGGUCUGAGUUGAAAGAGAGGGUACGUAUGGCAUCUUUUGAUAAUGAGGCAGAGCCUCUGCCAGUUACGAAUUACUAUUUCGAAGAUGACAAGAAUGAACCUAUUUCGUUUCAUGUUUAUAAACUAGAGUCUAAUGUACCAACUAAGCAAAGGUGGUGCCUUCGGCCAUGGUCAUGGAAUGUCCCAUGGAAUCAAAUGAGAACACACAGAACCUUCAACUGCCAUGGAGAUGCAAAUAUGGAAGUUACGAUCAUCCAUAGUAUAGAUAAGGGGUUUGGGGGACCACCUUCUUCUUCGUCAAUGUCAUUACGACGAGUUCAGACCAAAAGAGGGAGAGAGAGCUCUUCUCGUUAAUAUAUGGUCUGUUAGUUAAUUGUUUUAUUUUAGUCUUAUUGUUAUAUUGUUCUCUUUUUGAUUGUGGGAAGCUAGAUUAGAAGGGCUGGGGGCCGACUAAAUAAGGAAAGGAGGGGGACGGGAGAAAGAAAAAAAAAAAAAAAAAAGGGAAGAGAGAGUUGGAGAGUUUGGGUUUUUGUCGAAGGCAACCAUUUGGGUAUCUCUGGAUUUGAGGGGAGAGAAGCUAGAAGGUUUCUGUUGAUUUUCAGAAGCAAAGAUGAAGAAUUGAGAAUCUGAUCUCUUAGUGAAGGGGUUUUGCUUUGAGUUGGGUUGGUUGCAUUAAUUGUUUCCAUUCUGCUCUAUGAUUCGAAAAGCAAACUGUGGAUGGAAGGAGGAGAUUUAGGAGAGGUGUUUCAGCCUUUGUUAUUCUUUUUUCUACUAUUCAAAGCUUUGAGCCUUUUGGGUUUUCCUUUUUUGGCUGUUCUUGUUUUGGGUCUGCUUAAGAACUGAGGUGAGUGGCUGUUCUUUCUUGCGUUAUGUUUUAUUUUUGAUUUUUCCUUGGCUGAUUUCUAUGUUAAAUUGAGAUGUUGGUGUGGGUCAAUGAGUGAUUUCGUACCUAGAAAUAUUAGUUCUAUUUAUCUUUUAUCGUUGUUGGUUUUAGUUUGGGAUCUUUGAUGUCUGGUAAAGCUUUUGAUUUGUAAACUGUGGUUAGGUUGGGUGUUUGAUAUCAUGAGUUUGGAAUUGGUUUGAAUUCUGAUAUCUUUCUUUCUGAGCUUUUGCUUUGUUAUUUUAUAUACUUUGUUCUCUAUUAGGUGUCGAGGACAAUUACUUGAGCUUCAAUUGUGUUUUGGUCUGUUGCUUAUGUUUCAAAAGGAACUCGAUGUUGGUACGAUGUGACCAUAGUAUUGUGCUAGUUUGUAUUUGUUUACAGACUGAGAUUUUGUCACUCUUCCUUUUUGUUUUUUUUUUUUGAGUAAUCAGCUUGUAUACCUUUGGGUCUGGCUUCUUCUUGUAAGAUCUUGUAAUUAUGCUCUUUUGAAAACUCAACUAUGUAUAUUUGCAAAUGUAGAAAGGUACUGGAACUUUGAAAUGGAGCAGUGUUUUAAAUUCAAAUAUGAAGUGCUUUCACUUCCUUUUUGUUUCUUUCCUUCUGUUAGUCUUUUUCAGUUAGUUGUCUAUGUUCUUAAUUCCAUAUAUUGGGAUUGGGGCGUGACAAUGGUUCUAAUGAGAUUAGUCCUGAAGUUUUUCAGAUAUCAAUGCUGAUGAAAAGGAGGCAAGCUAUGGGGCUUGGUUCCCAUCCCCACAUCGAGUUUUGGUGCUUGAUGGUGUUCAGGGUCGAGUCACAAGAGAGGGAAAAUAUUGAUCCUAUGGGCGCACCAUUUUCUGCUUCUGCUAGCAUAUAAUAUUCACAUGCAGCAGCUGCUCAUGUUUUUUUCAUUAAUCAUAUUAUUUUUUGAUGGUUUAUGGAUAUUUAUAAUGGCAUGGCACUAGAAUGCUAUCUUGUUUUGGAACAAUAUGUAUUUGUAUCAACUUUUGAUGUCCCAAGUAGAUGGGCAUGUAUUAUAGAAUGCUUUUCUUCUUUUAAUGCUGGCUUGGAUGAUUGGGGAAUGCUCCCUUUUUACAUUUGAAGUUUAUAGUAUGGGUUGGAUUA